rnacentral:rRNA from 1 species
UCUGGUUGAUCCUGCCAGUAGGCAUAUGCUUGUCUCAAAGAUUAAGCCAUGCAUGUCUAAGUAUAAGCAAUUAUACAGUGAAACUGCGAAUGGCUCAUUAAAUCAGUUAUCGUUUAUUUGAUAGUACCUUACUACUUGGAUAACCGUGGUAAUUCUAGAGCUAAUACAUGCUAAAAAUCCCGACCUCUGGAAGGGAUGUAUUUAUUAGAUAAAAAAUCAAUGCUUCGGCUUCUUGAUGAUUCAUAAUAACUUUUCGAACCGCAUGGCCUUGUGCUGGCGGUGGUUCAUUCAAAUUUCUGCCCUAUCAACUUUCGAUGGUAGGAUAGUGGCCUACCAUGGUUUCAACGGGUAACGGGGAAUAAGGGUUCGAUUCCGGAGAGGGAGCCUGAGAAACGGCUACCACAUCCAAGGAAGGCAGCAGGCGCGCAAAUUACCCAAUCCCGACACGGGGAGGUAGUGACAAUAAAUAACGAUACAGGGCCCUUUCGGGUCUUGUAAUUGGAAUGAGUACAAUGUAAAUACCUUAACGAGGAACAAUUGGAGGGCAAGUCUGGUGCCAGCAGCCGCGGUAAUUCCAGCUCCAAGAGCGUAUCUUAAAAUUGUUGCAGUUAAAAAGCUCGUAGUUGAACCUUGGGUCUGGCUGGCCGGUCCGCUUUUUUGCGAGUACUGGACCCAGCCGGGCCUUUCCUUCUGGCUAGCCUUUUGGCGAACCAGGACUUUUACUUUGAAAAAAUUAGAGUGUUCAAAGCAGGCCUUUGCUCGAAUAUAUUAGCAUGGAAUAAUAGAAUAGGACGUCAUGGUUCUAUUUUGUUGGUUUCUAGGACCAUCGUAAUGAUUAAUAGGAACGGUCGGGGGCAUCAGUAUUCAGUUGUCAGAGGUGAAAUUCUUGGAUUUACUGAAGACUAACUACUGCGAAAGCAUUUGCCAAGGACGUUUUCAUUAAUCAAGAACGAAAGUUAGGGGAUCGAAGAUGAUCAGAUACCGUCGUAGUCUUAACCAUAAACUAUGCCGACUAGGGAUCGGGCAUCGUUCAUUU